CUUUAGCACUCCCUCCCGGACCAGACAUUCCGCAGGUUCUGGCUCUCUGGAACCCGGCUGAUCCCGACUUGAGGGUGUUCUCUGCGUGCAGGAUGGACCUGCCUCUGCUCCAUAGCAUAGCCGGUGCGGUGUGAGUCCCGCUGCGGCUCCACGCUCAACAUGGGGCUUGAACUCAUGACCCUGAGAUCAAGAGUCACACUCUCUACCAACUAAGCCAGCCAGCGUGCAAGAGAAGGAGUGGAGGGGACAGAGGAUCCAAAGCAGACUCCAUGCUGACCCCAGAGAACCUGAUGAGGGGCUUGAAACCAUGAACGGUGAGAUCAUGACCUGAGCUGAAGUCAGAUGCUUAACUGACUGAGCCACCCAGGUGCACCUCAUUAUGGAAGUUUAAAAGACAUCUGCAAGUUUCUUCUUUCGUGUUUUGUCUUUGACACCAGCUCUUAGUCACAGAUACUAUUUGACAUUCUAUAGAAGAUCUCAUAUGACUCAUUUAAUUUAAAAACAUUAGGUAGUGAUUCUCUUUGAUUCUCUUCCUUUUUAUAUGUGGCUAAUAAAACAUGUAACAACAAAAAAGAUUGAA